UUUCUCCAUCUUUAUUAAUAAUAACAAUAAAAACUUAAAAACAUUGGCAGUUAAACCUUAAAAUUAGAGGAGCUUGUCCCCAGAAUCCACUCUUUCUAUUUCAACAAUACAACCUUAGCCUGUUAAUCUCCGUUACUAGACUCCAAUCCCCCCUCAAUCCCCCCUACUCAUUUCAGGUCGAGAUGCAGCCUUAUAUUUUUCAAGAUUAGCUACAUUUAUACAACAAUAGACAUACAGUACAACCUCUAUAGAAACUGAAUUUAAUUGUAAUCAAUUUCACCAAAAACUCAUGAAACCACAGAUUUA
rnacentral:rRNA from 1 species